CAGUCACACGAGUUUGAUCAUGGCUCAGAACGAACGCUGGCGGCAGGCCUAACACAUGCAAGUCGAGCGAACCCUUCGGGGUUAGCGGCGGACGGGUUAGUAACGCGUGGGAAUAUACCCUUUGGUACGGAAUAGCCUCGGGAAACUGAGAGUAAUACCGUAUGUGCCCUUCGGGGGAAAGAUUUAUCGCCAAAGGAUUAGCCCGCGUUGGAUUAGAUAGUUGGUGGGGUAAUGGCCUACCAAGUCUACGAUCCAUAGCUGGUUUGAGAGGAUGAUCAGCAACACUGGGACUGAGACACGGCCCAGACUCCUACGGGAGGCAGCAGUGGGGAAUCUUAGACAAUGGGCGCAAGCCUGAUCUAGCCAUGCCGCGUGGACGAUGAAGGCCUUAGGGUUGUAAAGUCCUUUCAGAUGGGAAGAUAAUGACGGUACCAUCAGAAGAAGCCCCGGCUAACUCCGUG
rnacentral:rRNA from 1 species